rnacentral:rRNA from 1 species
UACGAAGGGGGCUAGCGUUGCUCGGAAUCACUGGGCGUAAAGGGUGCGUAGGCGGGUCUUUAAGUCAGGGGUGAAAUCCUGGAGCUCAACUCCAGAACUGCCUUUGAUACUGAGGAUCUUGAGUCCGGGAGAGGUGAGUGGAACUGGCGAGUGUAGAGGUGAAAUUCGUAGAGUAUUCGCAAGAACACCAGUGGCGAAGGCGGCUCACUGGCCCGGUACUGACGCUGAGGC